GCCGGGUUGAUGGAAUUAGGCAGACAUGAUGGAUUCAAAAUCCAUUGUCCGAGAGGACGUGUGGGUUCGAGUCCCACACCCGGCA
rnacentral:tRNA from 1 species